rnacentral:rRNA from 1 species
UUAAGCGACUAAGCGUACACGGUGGAUGCCCUGGCAGUCAGAGGCGAUGAAGGACGUGCUAAUCUGCGAUAAGCGUCGGUAAGGUGAUAUGAACCGUUAUAACCGGCGAUUUCCGAAUGGGGAAACCCAGUGUGAUUCGUCACACUAUCAUUAACUGAAUCCAUAGGUUAAUGAGGCGAACCGGGGGAACUGAAACAUCUAAGUACCCCGAGGAAAAGAAAUCAACCGAGAUUCCCCCAGUAGCGGCGAGCGAACGGGGAGCAGCCCAGAGCCUGAAUCAGUGUGUGUGUUAGUGGAAGCGUCUGGAAAGGCGCGCGAUACAGGGUGACAGCCCCGUACACAAAAAUGCACAUAUUGUGAGCUCGAUGAGUAGGGCGGGACACGUGGUAUCCUGUCUGAAUAGUGGGGGGACCAUCCUCCAAGGCUAAAUACUCCUGACUGACCGAUAGUGAACCAGUACCGUGAGGGAAAGGCGAAAAGAACCCCGGCGAGGGGAGUGAAAAAGAACCUGAAACCGUGUACGUACAAGCAGUGGGAGCACGCUUAGGCGUGUGACUGCGUACCUUUUGUAUAAUGGGUCAGCGACUUAUAUUCUGUAGCAAGGUUAACCGAAUAGGGGAGCCGAAGGGAAACCGAGUCUUAACUGGGCGUUAAGUUGCAGGGUAUAGACCCGAAACCCGGUGAUCUAGCCAUGGGCAGGUUGAAGGUUGGGUAACACUAACUGGAGGACCGAACCGACUAAUGUUGAAAAAUUAGCGGAUGACUUGUGGCUGGGGGUGAAAGGCCAAUCAAACCGGGAGAUAGCUGGUUCUCCCCGAAAGCUAUUUAGGUAGCGCCUCGUGAAUUCAUCCCCGGGGGUAGAGCACUGUUUCGGCAAGGGGGUCAUCCCGACUUACCAACCCGAUGCAAACUGCGAAUACCGGAGAAUGUUAUCACGGGAGACACACGGCGGGUGCUAACGUCCGUCGUGAAGAGGGAAGCAACCCAGACCGCCAGCUAAGGUCCCAAAGUCAUGGUUAAGUGGGAAACGAUGUGGGAAGGCCCAGACAGCCAGGAUGUUGGCUUAGAAGCAGCCAUCAUUUAAAGAAAGCGUAAUAGCUCACUGGUCGAGUCGGCCUGCGCGGAAGAUGUAACGGGGCUAAACCAUGCACCGAAGCUGCGGCAGCGACGCUUAUGCGUUGUUGGGUAGGGGAGCGUUCUGUAAGCCUGCGAAGGUGUGCUGUGAGGCAUGCUGGAGGUAUCAGAAGUGCGAAUGCUGACAUAAGUAACGAUAAAGCGGGUGAAAAGCCCGCUCGCCGGAAGACCAAGGGUUCCUGUCCAACGUUAAUCGGGGCAGGGUGAGUCGACCCCUAAGGCGAGGCCGAAAGGCGUAGUCGAUGGGAAACAGGUUAAUAUUCCUGUACUUGGUGUUACUGCGAAGGGGGGACGGAGAAGGCUAUGUUGGCCGGGCGACGGUUGUCCCGGUUUAAGCGUGUAGGCUGGUUUUCCAGGCAAAUCCGGAAAAUCAAGGCUGAGGCGUGAUGACGAGGCACUACGGUGCUGAAGCAACAAAUGCCCUGCUUCCAGGAAAAGCCUCUAAGCAUCAGGUAACAUCAAAUCGUACCCCAAACCGACACAGGUGGUCAGGUAGAGAAUACCAAGGCGCUUGAGAGAACUCGGGUGAAGGAACUAGGCAAAAUGGUGCCGUAACUUCGGGAGAAGGCACGCUGAUAUGUAGGUGAAGUCCCUUGCGGAUGGAGCUGAAAUCAGUCGAAGAUACCAGCUGGCUGCAACUGUUUAUUAAAAACACAGCACUGUGCAAACACGAAAGUGGACGUAUACGGUGUGACGCCUGCCCGGUGCCGGAAGGUUAAUUGAUGGGGUUAGCGCAAGCGAAGCUCUUGAUCGAAGCCCCGGUAAACGGCGGCCGUAACUAUAACGGUCCUAAGGUAGCGAAAUUCCUUGUCGGGUAAGUUCCGACCUGCACGAAUGGCGUAAUGAUGGCCAGGCUGUCUCCACCCGAGACUCAGUGAAAUUGAACUCGCUGUGAAGAUGCAGUGUACCCGCGGCAAGACGGAAAGACCCCGUGAACCUUUACUAUAGCUUGACACUGAACAUUGAGCCUUGAUGUGUAGGAUAGGUGGGAGGCGU